CAGCUGGAUGGUUCUGACUUUUGUGCAUGGAACGUAUAUAGCGGGUCGUAUCCAACAACCUGGCUAUUUAUGUGGCCUGGAUCGAGCUUUCGAAAAAACAAAGGGUAAAAUAUCCAAUAGCACUUUCCAAUUGAUUCAUAGCUUCAUGGUACGAGAAAGUUCCCUUGCCGAUCGAGAUGUUGCAUGGCCCGGCCAUGGCGCCACGUGUGCCAGCAAACUAAGCCGCCAUUAUCGCUUUUCAUUGGAUCUCGCAGCUGCUAAAGUUUUAACUUUAUGUUUGAGCUAGCUUCUGGGUUGAUCGAUGCCUUCUCCGCCGAUGUGGACGCAACACCACCAUCAUCACCGUACCAGCCCCUAUCUUAUUGUGUCUCACAAACCGUUGUCAUGCACAGAUCAGUCACCCACGAACAAUCCAUGCACUCGGCCGCUCGGAUCCCGCCAGCGUAGAGGCGCCGCCUGGAUGGGAACUCAUCAUGAUGAUGGUUUGGAUCGAUCCAUGUUGUUAUCUAUACAUCCUGAGAUUUUCUGGCGCCCAGGUUGUUCAUGCUGCUCGACGAUGCCCCGGCGAAAAGCGCCGAUCGGAUUUCCCUAGGCGACCUCACCUACAUAUGAAUACAACUUCCCUUCCUUAGACCCAUUUUUAAAACCAAGCCAUGAAGGCCAACCUGUUCCUCUGAAUGUGGAGAAGACUGCCAUUGCAGCAAGACACGUGAAUCUAGAGAUUGAAAUCGAGUUGUUGUAGAACAAUCAGAUCUAGAGGAGUAUGUAAUGGCCAUGUACUCUCGUUCGCAUGCUCUGACACUGUCGGCAGUAUGGUGGGAGCUACCGACGCUUUCCUUGGAGAACUUCUGGAUGAGGACGAAUAUACUUUGGCGUCCGCUCAAGAUGCAUUGACACAAACUGAUGCAUGUUGUUUCCUGGAAUCAAUGGAUGACAUAAUAGAUGCAUCAUGUAUGUAUCACGAUCAUGUAUUACCGA